CCCAUCCACAUGGGCGAGUUUAAUCCGCAGUUUUAUAGUAGGAAGUUCCAUGGCACUUUGAACUUGUAUUUGAGCUCAGUUUUCUACUGAUUAAACAUGUGAGCUUGGAAAAUGACUGCAUUCUUGAAUGUAAUGGGCUUCUUAAGAAACUGGAGUUGCAAGCAGAUCAAAGAAAAAAAAAAGAACUUGUUCUUCCGGACCAGGACUGUAUUUAAAUCUCAAAAGACGGACAUCUUGCAACCUUCUUAUAGCAACUGGUCUUUUUCCUCUGUAAGAAGUCAGAGGGGGAGAGAAAAGACAAUAAAAAAAAAUCUUCAAAGAGGAGAAGAAAUCUGAUCUAUCCUUAUUUCUGAUUAGUUGGCAUAACUUCAGGAUGUCCGUAAGUUGUGGCUUUCCUGCAGAAAUUUGAUUUCAGACUGGUUAUCUCAGCAUAAUAUUAAUGGUAUCCCCUUACAGUCUCAAUAGUGUCCUGGUUUGGAUGAUAAAUUACAUGUUCUUUUUAGCCAACUGUUAUUGAAGAUGUCAGAUUUAUUGCACAAAAUGCAUCAAAAAAACAAAUAGCAUAAGAUGAAAUGUCGCCUCAAAUAUCUUGGUUAAAGUUUCCACUAGUAAGUAUUAAAUUUUGAAAAGUACAAAAUUAACUACAUUUAUUGAAUGAUGAAGUAUAACAUUGUAUGAAGUUGAUG
rnacentral:lncRNA from 13 species